CGGAGAGGGCUUCAGCGCUGGAGGCUUGCACCUGCCCAGCUCAAGUUGGAGAUAGUGGGGCGUUCGCGCAACGUGGGGGUUUCAGCUUUAAAUAUUGGAAAUUAACCACCACUUAGCUCAUCUUGGCAUUGUGCCAGAUUGAAAUCACCUCGCCCGAAGUUGCGCCUCAGCUCAACAUUGCCACGCCUGAAUAUCUGCUCGAGCUCGGCAGCGGCAACACAGCAGCUGCUCGACGACACACACUCAGUUCAAGAUACACCGGGGGAAACAUGAAAUUGGGGAUGAACUCCGCAACAGGAGCAACACAUAAUGUCAGAAUGUUGUCAGCACUGGGAGUGGCAUCAACAUAUAUUUGGAGAGGCCAAGUUGGUUACCUUCCGGUGCUUAUGGCAAUUAUGCUAGCUCCGAGACUGACACCAAGCAAAAUCACACCGUCAACAAACAUGAUCUGGAUGGACCUUUUGUUAUUGAUUGUCAAGAUUCAAAUGCUAAUGCCUUACUUCCCUAGAAAAUUAUUCCUGGAAAAGAAAGUGAAGUUUUAGAGUAAGCAUAGCCAAGGAGUUAUGCAGUACAUAGGAUAGUACCAGGAAUAGUACCUUCAAGUUGAUUGAGAAACCAGAUGUAUAGGGCCAUAAAUAUUCUAAUGGUGAUUGCACUGUUUGUAAUUUAAAUAUACAACCAUUCAAAAGGAAUGUAUUGUGGAUGCAAAGGUAGUCUCA